CAGGGUGCAGUGACCCCAGGGUGCAGUGACCCCCCAGGGGUGCAGUGACCUCAGGGUGCAGUGACCUCAGGGUGCAUGCCAGUUGCUACAACUCCACACCACAUCUACAAAUAUAAGUUGGCAAGAGAAACAAAACAAACUGCUUGGGAAGUGCCUUUUUAUUCUUACUUCCCAAGGAUGUAAUUAUCUAUUAGUUAUUCUUCCAAUCCAAUGUCUUCAUUUUGAGUCCAGUAAAGAGUCUGUGCUUCUUGAAUUCUGAGUUUGUGUGUCAGUUACUGCAUUACAAAUAUCUCUUCAACAAUAGUUAGCCACAUAUUUUUCAUUGAUGGGGUUUCAUUACACCAAUGUCUGGUGACAUCUUUCUUGCUCACUACUAGCAUUAUUUUGAUGGAAUAUACAUCACUCGCAAUAACAUUCUCUUCGUGAAAUUGAAAUGGAGCACCAAACUACUUUUAGGGAGCUCAUAUCCUCGUAUUUGCUUUAGCACCUCGUGAACCAUUUCCCCCAAAACAUGAGAAUGGCCCACAUUCCCGCCAACAUUUUGAACGUUUGCUGGUGCUUCCUUUUCACAUUUAGUGUAAUAAAGAAACAAAUACGAUUCUUCCAUGAGAAUUCCCUCAAAGUUGGUGAAUUGGUGGAUGAGUGAUUUACCCUCCAAAUCUCCUGCCAAUCUUCAUCUUACAUUUGUACAUCGAGUUCCCAUUUCAUCGUAAUAGAUUAAGUUGAAUGUUUGUCAUUAGUGUUCAAACCUUAUAUAACGCCGAAAUUGCAACCAAAGUGCACAGGUCUCAGUUGAGCUGCAUGAUAGUCCUCCCUUGAUGUUGGCAGAGCCGCGCGCCUCUCUGUCAGGUCGGCUGAAGAGUUUUGUUUGACUCAAGGUUUUGCCCCCACAAACAAAUCUGGAAAUCAUUCUGUCCCAGUUUGUAAAUUGUAAAUUGUGGGACCUCUACUGGUAAAGGUUGUUAUAGAUGGAGAAAUCUGGGUAAUAUGUUAAGUUUAACUAUCUCAAUACUUGAGUUUAAAUCUAGUGGGAGGGUAGACCAUCUUGUUAUAUCAUUUUUUCUCUAAAUUGUUAUAAUUUGCUUUAUAUAGGUCGGUGUUUAUAGUGAUUUUAACCCCCAAAUAUUGAAUUAAUUUAGAUUCCAUUUAAGUUCAUAGGAUUCCUGGAAUUAAUGAAUUGUGUAUCCUCACAGAUGGCCGUAUGUUUGUAGUAGUUUCAUCAAAUAGGGAGCGAUGUGUUGGGUUGUUUGAGGAAAGCAAUUAAAUCAUCAGAAAAAGUCCAAGCUUAUGUUAUCCACCUUUU
ensembl:lncRNA